rnacentral:rRNA from 1 species
UACAGAGACUGCAAGCGUUAUUCGGAUUCACUGGGCGUAAAGGGUGCGCAGGCGGCCGUGUGUGUGAGGCGUGAAAUCCCGGGGCUUAACCCCGGAAUUGCACCUCAAACUACACGGCUAGAGCAUUGGAGAGGGUAGCGGAAUUCACGGUGUAGCAGUGAAAUGCGUAGAUAUCGUGAGGAACACCAGAGGCGAAGGCGGCUACCUGGACAAUUGCUGACGCUCAGGCACGAAAGCGUGGGGAGCAAAAGGG